CAGAGGGUGCAAACGUUGUUCGGAAUUACUGGGCGUAAAGCGCGUGUAGGCGGCUAUGCAAGUCGGAUGUGAAAGCCCUCGGCUCAACCGGGGAAGUGCACCCGAAACUGCAAAGCUAGAGUCUCGGAGAGGAUCGUGGAAUUCUCGGUGUAGAGGUGAAAUUCGUAGAUAUCGAGAGGAACACCGGUGGCGAAGGCGGCGAUCUGGACGAUGACUGACGCUGAGACGCGAAAGCGUGGGGAGCAAACAGGAUUAGAUACCCUGGUAGUCCACGCCGUAAACGAUGGGUGCUAGGUGUCGCGGGCUUUGACCCCUGCGGUGCCGCAGCUAACGCAUUAAGCACCCCGCCUGGGAAGUACGGCCGCAAGGCUA
rnacentral:rRNA from 1 species